ensembl:lncRNA
UGGUAACUCCGCCCGAACACUGCGCAUGAAGCGUCAAAAACAGCUGAUUGCAGGAAAAUCCCCCCAAAAAGUGCGAUAUUUAUUAAGACAUGUCAGGUGUAUGAGACUCCGCAUGUAUAUAUGAAACACGUAUUGUACAGUUGCAAAUGGAUCUAGUUUCAUUCAGUUACAGACCCUCAAACUGCGAGGCGGCUACGGAUAUCGACCUCAAUAACACUAGUCACUGCCGUAACCAUCGCCGGAGAAAGAAGAUAUGAAAGGAGAGCACUUACCUGCGGACGAGGAACCACAUGACCAAAAUCACAUCAUUUAACUGUUGCGACAUAAAGGGGGUGAUAUACAAGAUUCUAACAGAGCGCUCACCCUGCGUAGCCCAUGACUGCUGAGAGAUGGACUUGGAGAAGGAGCUGGUCAAAGGCUUUUGUAAUAUGAGAGGAGAAGAUAAAGGCUCAAAGGCGCCGAAGUGCAAGAGGGAGAUAACAUGGAGGAGGGAGAGACAACAAUAUGUGAAGAUAGCUCCCGCAUUACACUAACUGCCAAAACCAGCGCACACACAUAAUCUCCUUUGUAGCUGAACAUUGUGUGUCCGAAGAGGAUUCUACGAUGACGGACAGACAACUGAGCCAAUGGCGGAAGACUACAGACUACACCCCAGCUGAACCAAUCCAAAGAUCCGAUCUUCCAGAAUCAACCUACUUUCUGUUCUAUAUAUAAGUGGUGUACUGAUUGUAACGGUCUCUUUGCCUGCAGUUCCGUACGAACUAGCGGAGGAGCCGUAAUUACGCUGUUCUAGAUAUCUUCACUCUGAAUAAACUGUCGCUUAUCAUACAAUUUACCACCUUGUCUGAAUCGAUCCUUGACCGACUCGCCCGUCUACAUAUCUAAUUUCUAACAGUGUGAAGUGUGAAAACUCUUGAUCCUAACAAUGGCAAGAGAGUUUCACAGCCCCUCCCCAGCCAAAUGCAGAGGCCUUUGAAGCCCCCCAUAUCUGUGCAGAGAAGAUAUCCUCCUCUGAAUCCCCAAAAUACAACAGCCACAGGACAACUUUGUUUGGACGUUGUCAAGGACCAUUCGCUGACACUGAAAAGAUAUAGCUAGCUAACGAUCUUCUCAACACGGAAAAGAAGGACAGAGACUUGCUAGCUACAUUAGUGAGCUAGCUGAGAUUUUCUACAAGGAAUCUGCCUCCCGAAAAAAGCUUCUCCCAAGUGGGUGUGACACCUACUCCCGUUGCCUGCUGCUCUGCUGCUUGGAUUCCAACUGACGAUCUGUUCACCGUCUGCCAUGGCCUGUCUCCCCAUGUCUGGUACCCCAGCCACACUCCCCCCUCUCCCCCGAGCUUUCUCUCACCUCCAGCACACAUGCACUGUUGAGGCGAGUGACUCUGAACUUACAAUGGCUAGCCCCAAGUUGUUACAUUUUUCACUUGUGCUUUAUAGAUCUUUCUUUUAUGUUAUUGACUAUACGUUUGUUGAUGUAACUCUGUGUUGUUUGUGUCACACUGCUUUGCUUUAUUUUGGCCAGGUCGCAGUUGUAAAUGAGAACUUGUUCUCAGCUGGCCUACCUGGUUAAAUACAGGUGAAAUAUAUUUUUAAAUAAAAAUGCAAUUUGCCUCAUGACUCCUGCGUGCUUUGUCGACUUUGAACUUGCUUG